rnacentral:tRNA from 1 species
CCCUGGGUGGUGUAAACAGGUAAUGCAUUUGGCUGCUAACCUAAAGGUGGGUGGUUUGAGUCCACCCACAGGCA